UAUGACGUGGACUUUAAGACUUUGGAUUCCAUCUGAAGUACUUGAUUGAAGAAAUUAAGAAUGAUCUCAAUACAAGACUUCUUUGCUUAUAACUUGCUCCUUAAGUUAGUUUCCUUCCUGGUUCGUCUACUAUAAUACAUCCCACAUGGUCAUGGUUUCAAAUUGCACAAUUAUUUUAUUGUAGUUUGAAUCAAAUUCAGGGUGAAAGUUAUAUAGACUUUUGAUAUUAGAAAAUAUGUAAAUGAGAUAGUAUCAUUCAUAUUAUAUAUUGAGGCAUUUCAGGAACAAAGAGGUCAAAUACUUGGUUGAAAGUCAGUAAGUCAGUUAUAGCAUCUCUCAUUACUCAAUUAGCUUAGCCCAGUUUGAAAAUGUAGUGCCAUUUAUGCAUGUUCUCUUUGUUUGAUGCACUUUCAGUUGGUUAGCACUCUCCAGGCCUUCUAAUGUGGAGUUACUCUCCUUUCUUAUUAGGUCUUCAACUUUCAUAUAGAAGUCAGAUUCAUACAUUCAUUCUAGGAGUAAAUACUUUUUAUUUGAUAAAUAAUGUUGAACUGAGCUACAUGCCAGGCAUUCUGCCAGGUACUCAGGAUUCAAAGAUGAGCAAAACAAAUUUGAUCCGACCAAGAGUUGCCAUCUGGUCAUUUGUCUCUUUGUUUAAUAUCUGAAUCCUCCAUUAGACUGUAAGCUUCAUGGGGUCAGAUGUUUUUUUUGUGUACCGUUGUAUGUCCUCUGGCCAGUAGAGUGGUGCUAUAAUAUUAACUGAAUGAAAGAGGAGAACAGUAGUACGAGUUUAAGUAAGACAAUUUUGGCUGUGAAGAGGGGAGGGAAGAGGGAGAAUUUGACACUCAAGGCACUGCUAGCAUCAGUCUUGGCCGUGCUCUUCUGCCAAAGGGAGUGGAAAGGUCCAGGCAGAAGAAAGACAGAAACCCCCAGCAAUGUGAAGGCCUGAGAGAACUGUCUCAGAAAAACAUCCAUUACCAAACAGGAAUUGGCUCAUAUGAUUAUGGAAGAAUGUCAAGAUCUGAAGCUGACAAGCUGAAGACUCAGGAGAGCCAAUGGUCAACUUCCAGUCGGAAGGCAAGAGAAGAGCUGUGUUCCAGCUCAAAGACAGCUAUGCUGCUGACUUCCUGGCAGAAUGGAUGCUCCUUCUUUCCCUCCUCUCCUCCUCCUCCUUCUCGUUGUUUGACACCUGUGUGGUUCCAGCUGAAUUAAUUCAACUCUACCUCCAAGAGUAUGUUCCCAACUCUACCUCCAAGAGUAUGUUCCGCAGG